UGACAUUUUCAAUUCCUUUUUAAAUAGUAGAUUACUGUACCAGUGAAGGAAUUUGAUGUCUCAUAUCCAGAUGAGGUAAAGUAUCCAAGGGCGUUAGCCCGAUGUACUUUUACUCAUCGUGAUACGAGGUAUCAAAUUCAUUCACGUGUACAGUAUGGCGUU